rnacentral:rRNA from 1 species
GCAAUCGUACGAGAAAGUCCGCUUCGGUGGAUGAGUAAAGUGACGCACGGGUGAGUAACGCGUGGAUAAUCUACCCUUUAGUCUGGAAUAACUUAUCGAAAGGUGAACUAAUACCGGAUCAUAUCCCGAUUUCUUCGGCGAUCGGGAUCAAAGAAGGCCUCUGCUUGCAAGCUUUCACUGAAGGAUGAGUCCGCGUACCAUUAGCUAGUUGGCAGGGUAAUGGCCUACCAAGGUUAUGAUGGUUAGCUGGUCUGAGAGGAUGAUCAGCCACACUGGAACUGAAACACGGUCCAGACUCCUACGGGAGGCAGCAGUGAGGAAUAUUGCGCAAUGGGGGCAACCCUGACGCAGCAACGCCGCGUGAGUGAGGAAGGUUUUCGGAUUGUAAAGCUCUGUCGAGCGGAAAGAAGUGCAUGGUGGUUAAUAUCCAUCAUGCUUGACGGUACCGCUAAAGGAAGCACCGGCUAACUCCGUGC